UUCAGUUCGCGGCACAGCAUC
rnacentral:siRNA from 1 species